GACGAACGCUGGCGGCGUGCUUAACACAUGCAAGUCGAACGAUGACGACCGAGCUUGCUCGGUCUGAUUAGUGGCGAACGGGUGAGUAACACGUGAGCAACCUGCCCUUCACUCUGGGAUAACCUCGGGAAAUCGGGGCUAAUACCGGAUAUGAGCUCCUGUCGCAUGGCGGGUGUUGGAAAGUUUUUCGGUGAAGGAUGGGCUCGCGGCCUAUCAGUUUGUUGGUGAGGUAGUGGCUCACCAAGGCGAUGACGGGUAGCCGGCCUGAGAGGGCGACCGGCCACACUGGGACUGAGACACGGCCCAGACUCCUACGGGAGGCAGCGGUGGGGAAUAUUGCACAAUGGGCGAAAGCCUGAUGCAGCGACGCCGCGUGAGGGAUGACGGCCUUCGGGUUGUAAACCUCUUUCAGCAGGGAAGAAGCGAAAGUGACGGUACCUGCAGAAGAAGCGCCGGCGAACUACGU
rnacentral:rRNA from 1 species